rnacentral:lncRNA from 1 species
UAGUGGCCUUCAGCAUGGCAGUGGAAACAUUUUUUUUUACUUCGGUCUUGCUAAGAACUUUCUUCUUUGUCCUAUUUUUUUUUUCUGCUUCUUAACGAAUUUUGCCUUCUUCUUUCCAGUAGACUUUUUCUUGAAAGAAGUCCACUCUACAGUGAGGACAGUGCCCCUUGAACUCUUUAAGGUUCCUUUCAUAGUGACCAACAUGUUGACCAGUUCG